rnacentral:lncRNA from 1 species
CUUGGUGAGAAAUCAUUUUCUCAUCCUUCCCUCUAAUUUUUUAGACAUGAUUUCUUUUAGUUCUUUGAAUAUUUCUUUAAUGAUUGAUUUAACUUUUAAUUGAUGAUUUAAAGUCUUGCCUUGUAAGUCCAACAUUUGUGCUUCCUCAAGGAUGGUUUCUAUUAACCACAUUUUUUGUUUUCCUGUGUAUAGGGCCAUACUUUUUUGUUUCUUUGCAUGUCUUAUAAUUUUUUGAUUGAAAACUGGAUAUUUUAGAUACAGUAUUGUGGCAUAUCUAGAAAUCAGAUCCCACCUCCCCAGACUUUUGCUUUGGUGGGAUGGGGCAGGGCUGGGAGACUGCUCUCUGCUUAGUGACUUUCCUAGACUGAUUUUGUAAAGUCUGUAUUCCCUUUCGUGUGUGGCCACUGAAAUCUGUACUCAGUUAACUUGGUGGAUCAUUAGAAAGUGACUUGCUUAAGUAUCUAGAAGCAGUAAGUCUUCAUCCCUUUGCCAAGGAGUUCUUUAUGCAGGUUGUACUUGCCUUCAGUCCUCUAGCAUUUUACAACAUUUUCUUAGCCUUUAUUUCUUGCUUGCACAGGGCCUCAGGGUCAACCUGAGGUGUUCUCUCUGUUCUGUUAAUCAUGAACACUGCCCUACACAUUUCAUGGCUCCAGAUCCCUUUGAAUAUGUCAGAGCUUUACAAAGCCUCCUAUGGACAUCUCGUUCCCCAGGUCGACUUCCUUGUGAGAUCUCUGGCCAAUCUUUGGUCCCAGUUUCUAUCAUUCCUUUAACCAGCUGAGAUUUUAAACAACCUUUGCUGAUGGUUUUCAGCAAACACUCUGAGGUUAGACUUUUUUUUCCCAGCAAAGGGAAUUGUGUGAGUGCAACAUUUUCAGUUAGCUGCCAGACAAGUCAAAUAGUGACAGUUUUUUGGAGGUAUGAUUUUUUAUGGAGUUCCAAACCUCAUCUGUGAAGUUGCUGAUAUUUAAGGCUACCAAUGAUAUAGGGAAAUGAGGAUAAGAAUAGGGCAAGUUCGAAUGCCAUAGAACUCACUAU